UACGGAGGGGGCUAGCGUUGUUCGGAAUUACUGGGCGUAAAGCGCGCGUAGGCGGACCUGCAAGUCGGGGGUGAAAGCCCGAGGCUCAACCUCGGAACUGCCUUCGAUACUGCGGGUCUCGAGUCCGGGAGAGGUGAGUGGAAUUCCUAGUGUAGAGGUGAAAUUCGUAGAUAUUAGGAAGAACACCAGUGGCGAAGGCGGCUCACUGGCUCGGUACUGACGCUGAGGUGCGAAAGCAUGGGGAGCGAACAGG
rnacentral:rRNA from 1 species